UGUAUAUUUAGAUUCUCUGUGAUUCUGUGUCACGAUGUGCCUGAUCUGCCUGCUGUAAGGUAGGUGAUAUAUGUAUAUUUAGAUUCUCUGUGAUUCUGUGUCACGAUGUGCCUGAUCUGCCUGCUGUAAGGUAGGUGAUAUAUACAUCCACUCAGUGUGUACAUGGAAGCUUGUCACACAAGCAGCUGGACUUGUGGUAUGAGGGAUUCAGUCACACACAUAAUCAGAAAUCCAUGUUCUGUUCAGAGAGAGUGCUUUGACUUGCCUUCCUGCCCUUAAUAUUGAUGUGUUUCCAAUCAGUUUAAAUACGGAAAUAAAUGAGAAAAUUAUA